rnacentral:rRNA from 1 species
UAACGUAGGGGGCAAGCGUUGGUCCGGAAUCAUUGGGCGUAAAGAGCGCGUAGGCGGCCCGACAAGUCCGCUGUGAAAGGUCAAGGGGGCUCGAACCCUUGGACUGCCGGUGGAUAACUGUCGGGCUAGAGUCCGGAAGAGGCGAGUGGAAUUCCUGGUGGUAGCGGUGAAAUGCGACAGAUAUCAGGAGGAACACCGAUGGCGAAGGCAGCUCGCUGGGACGGUACUGACGCUGAGGCGCGAAAGCGUGGGGAGCAAACAGG